rnacentral:rRNA from 1 species
UACGUAGGGUGCGAGCGUUGUCCGGAAUUAUUGGGCGUAAAGAGCUUGUAGGCGGUUUGUCGCGUCUGCUGUGAAAAUCCGGGGCUCAACCCCGGACUUGCAGUGGGUACGGGCAGACUAGAGUGUGGUAGGGGAGACUGGAAUUCCUGGUGUAGCGGUGAAAUGCGCAGAUAUCAGGAGGAACCCCGAUGGCGAAGGCGGCAUCCUGGACCGACAUUGACGCUGAGGAGCGAAAGCUAGGGGAGCAAACGGG